rnacentral:rRNA from 1 species
CCUACGGGAGGCUGCAGUGAGGAAUAUUGGUCAAUGGCCGGGAGGCUGAACCAGCCAAGUCGCGUGAGGGAAGACGGCCCUACGGGUUGUAAACCUCUUUUGUCAGGGAGCAAGGUGCAGGUCGGGACCUGCUGUGAGAGUACCUGAAGAAAAAGCAUCGGCUAACUCCGUGCCAGCAGCCGCGGUAAUACGGAGGAUGCGAGCGUUAUCCGGUUUUAUUGGGUUUAAAGGGUGCGCAGGCGGAGGCACAAGUCAGCGGUAAAAUCGCGGGGAUCAACCCCGCGCCGCAGUUGAAACUGUGUGCCUUGAGUGCGCGAAGGGUAGGCGGAAUGCGUGGUGUAGCGGUGAAAUGCAUAGAUAUCACGCAGAACUCCGAUCGCGAAGGCAGCCUACCGGCGCGCAACUGACGCUGAUGCACGAAAGCGUGGGUAUCGAACAGGAUUAGAUACCCCAGUAGUC